GUAGAAUCGCAUUAAAAUUGGAAUUUCAAAUCGAUCGAGGAUCGCAGUCGCUGCAAUUUGUAGUUGUCAGUUGGGCAGAUCGGUGCUCACACAUAUCAGUUGGUUUGUGAGAGGGAUUGCACUUGCUAACAUAUGCCAGCCGUCAUGUUUGCUUCCCACUACGGAGUCAGUGUGAAAAUUUGCAGUUGAGGCGCCUGUCCCCUGACUUUUAGUGCAAUCAUUACUCAAUAACUAUGUGUCUACUGCCUUCGAAUGCAGUCGAACUUGGUGCACGGUCGGAAUCAAUUGGACUUCAUAACUACUUUGUUGGAAAGUCUGAAGUUGAUCAUUGUUUGCAGUGCCAAGCGACUGAAAGGCGUGCUGAGCAUAAUAAAUGCGUUUGGGGGACUUUUGCUGGACGGAAAUAAAAAGGAUUCACACGAGAAUUGGGCCACAACCAUAAACUGGCUUAUUAUCAGCUUUCAGUUACAUGAAUCCCCGCCGAAAUGUUAUGUCACCAGUCUGCUAAUGAUAAAGUGAUCUACCAGAACUCGUAAUCAACUGAUCAACCCAAAGCUAAUUGAUUUCCAUGAAAAUGCAAAGAUUCACAUCUCAGCGGCACUCACUUCGCGCCCGAGUCACGUUUCCAGACCGAAACGUCAGCGACCAUGAGGAGGCAUCUUUGGAACCGGCUAGUAGUCGGCUGACCUGGGCUGAUUCGCUCGAUCUCCCGCAUCCGGACUUCCCCAAAAAGAAAGUGUGACCCAUCCGCGAUGUCGGUUGCGCGAAUCGCAUUGCAUGUCGGUAACAAUGUUCUCAUUUGUUUUUGUUGAUUCGCGCGUUGUUUGCUUUUUAAGGCACACUUGUGACGCUGUUUUGCACGGCAAAAAAAUCCCAGAAACCCAGAAACGUACGUUUUUUAGUAUUUGUUUGUAUCUGAAGAAUUAAUUUGAUCGAUAUUGUGAAAGGGUAACCGUUUG